GACGUAGGGCGCGAGCGUUGUCCGGAUUUAUUGGGCGUAAAGAGCUCGUAGGCGGCUUGUCACGUCGGGUGUGAAAGCCCGGGGCUUAACCCCGGGUCUGCAUUCGAUACGGGCAGGCUGGAGUUCGGUAGGGGAGACUGGAAUUCCUGGUGUAGCGGUGAAAUGCGCAGAUAUCAGGAGGAACACCGGUGGCGAAGGCGGGUCUCUGGGCCGAUACUGACGCUGAGGAGCGAAAGCGUGGGGAGCGAACAGG
rnacentral:rRNA from 1 species